UACAGAGGGUGCAAGCGUUGUUCGGAAUUAUUGGGCGUAAAGAGCUCGUAGGCGGUUUGUCGCGUCUGCUGUGAAAACUCGGGGCUUAACCCCGGGCCUGCAGUGGGUACGGGCAGACUAGAGUGCGGUAGGGGAGACUGGAAUUCCUGGUGUAGCGGUGAAAUGCGCAGAUAUCAGGAGGAACACCGGUGGCGAAGGCGGGUCUCUGGGCCGUAACUGACGCUGAGGAGCGAAAGCGUGGGGAGCGAACAGG
rnacentral:rRNA from 1 species